GAUGAACGCUAGCGGCAGGCCUAACACAUGCAAGUCGAGGGGCAUCGCGGUGCAGCAAUGCACUGGCGGCGACCGGCGUACGGGUGCGUAACGCGUAUGCAACCUGCCCCGCACCGGGGGAUAGCCCGCCGAAAGGCGGAUUAAUACCCCAUGGUCCCGGGGGCCCGCAUGGGCAUCCGGGUAAAGCCUUGGCGGUGCGGGAUGGGCAUGCGUGCCAUUAGCUGGCUGGUGGGGUAACGGCCCACCAGGGCAACGAUGGCUAGGGGGUCUGAGAGGAUGGUCCCCCACACUGGUACUGAGACACGGACCAGACUCCUACGGGAGGCAGCAGUGAGGAAUAUUGGUCAAUGGGCGGAAGCCUGAACCAGCCAUGCCGCGUGCGGGAUGAAGGCCCUACGGGUUGUAAACCGCUUUUCCCGGGAAGAACUAACCCCGAUGAGUCGGGGGAUGGCCGGUACCGGGGGAAUAAGGAUCGGCUAACGUCCGUGCCAGCAGCCAACGGUAAAAUCACGUGUA
rnacentral:rRNA from 1 species